UCUCGCGACCCGCGUUGAGAUUUGGGGUAAGUGAAGGCGGGCCGCGAGCCCCCCUAAGAUACGCGCAUGAUUUUAAAAACCAGGCGACCCGCGUACAAGGUGCAUGGUUCCCCCAUGCGGGCCGCGUCAGGCGCCCAGAUGCAGAAACAUGCUUAACUUGGCUGUUCAGCCUUCUAAAAGCCAUGACCUGCAUUUAAACCUUCAAAGUGACCCCUAAACAACUCCUAAACACUAGGGACACAUGUUGGAAGGUUGGGGUUAGUUGGGGGACUUGUGUGUCAAAAUUUGUUGUGAAACCUUACUAUAAAAGGGCAUGUUUGGUUCAUAACCAACACACAACUCAAAACACACUCCUCUGGUCAUUCUAAAGGCUCUCAAGCAUUUCUCUGUAUACUCUAAGCAAGACCCAACUUCUAUUAGGAACCCAGUAAAAGUACUUGCGACUACUGAUUAGAAUAUACGGCUGAGUUAUUAUUCUUGCUAUUUAAGACAGGAGCUAGCUCAGAUUAAGUGCAGGUGCUAUACGUAAUAGGCUGGUACUCCAGG